rnacentral:rRNA from 1 species
UACGGAGGGUGCAAGCGUUAUCCGGAUUCACUGGGUUUAAAGGGUGCGUAGGUGGGGUGGUAAGUCAGUGGUGAAAUCUCCAGGCUUAACUUGGAAACUGCCAUUGAUACUAUCAUUCUUGAAUACCGUGGAGGUGAGCGGAAUAUGUCAUGUAGCGGUGAAAUGCUUAGAUAUGACAUAGAACACCAAUUGCGAAGGCAGCUCGUUACACGAAUAUUGACACUCAGGCACGAAAGCGUGGGGAUCAAACAGG